rnacentral:rRNA from 1 species
ACUCCUACGGGAGGCAGCAGUGGGGAAUAUUGCACAAUGGGGGAAACCCUGAUGCAGCCAUGCCGCGUGUGUGAAGAAGGCCUUCGGGUUGUAAAGCACUUUCAGUAGGGAGGAAGGUAGUGUAGUUAACACCUGCACUAUUUGACGUUACCUACAGAAGAAGCACCGGCUAACUCCGUGCCAGCAGCCGCGGUAAUACGGAGGGUGCGAGCGUUAAUCGGAAUUACUGGGCGUAAAGCGCAUGCAGGCGGCCUGUUAAGUCAGAUGUGAAAGCCCGGGGCUUAACCUCGGAAUUGCAUUUGAAACUGGCAGGCUAGAGUCUUGUAGAGGGGGGUAGAAUUUCAGGUGUAGCGGUGAAAUGCGUAGAGAUCUGAAGGAUACCAGUGGCGAAGGCGGCCCCCUGGACAAAGACUGACGCUCAGAUGCGAAAGCGUGGGGAGCAAACAGGAUUAGAUACCCUGGUAGGAUAGCC